rnacentral:lncRNA from 1 species
AAUGCUGCAUACAGGAGAUGAGGGAGGACGGCCAGACACCUGGAAGCCGGAAAAUGAGUGAAGCUGUGCCUGAUGCUGGGUUGGCCCGGUGUGCAGGGUGCCAGGGUGCAGCGGGAGGGUGGACUAUAUACACCCUGUACAAGAGGUGCUCCUGAAACAGUAGUCAUUUAAAGAGGAGAGAGAAAGGGAGGAAAGGCAGCCAUCAGGUGGCGCACUGAGUCCACACCCCAAAAGGCAAAGGGCUCACCAGGACCUUAAGGACCUCUGCUGCUGCUGCUGCUGCUUCAGGACUCAGUGGCCUUUGAGGAUGUGGCAGUGAACUUCACCCAGGAGGAGUGGGCUUUGCUGGAUCCUUGGCAGAAAAAACUCUACAGAGAUGUGAUGCUGGAAACCUAUAGGAACCUGGCUUCAGGAAAAAAUGUGAAGAGCAUAACAUUGAAGAUCAGUCCAAAAACCAAGAAAGAAGUCUAAGGCACAUCAGAUCUCACACUGGACACAAACCAUAUGAGUGUCAAGAUUAUGGAGAAAAGCCGUAUAGAUGUAAGGAAUGUGGGAAGGCCUUCAGUUAUUUCCAGUCAUUU